AGAGUUUGAUCCUGGCUCAGAAUUGAACGCUGGCGGCAUGCCUAACACAUGCAAGUCGAACGGCAGCACAGCAGUAGCAAUACUGUGGGUGGUGAGUGGCGGACGGGUGAGUAAUGCAUCGGGACCUACCUGAACGUGGGGGAUAACGUAGGGAAACUUACGCUAAUACCGCAUACGUCCUACGGGAGAAAGCGGGGGGACCUUCGGGCCUCGCCGCGGUCAGACGGACCGAUGUUCGAUUAGCUAGUUGGUAAGGUAACGGCUUACCAAGGGCGAACGAUCGAUAGCUGGUUCUGAGAGGAUGAUCAGCCACACUGGAACUGAGACACGGUCCAGACUCCUACGGGAGGCAGCAGUGGGGAAUAUUGGACAAUGGGCGCAAGCCUGAUCCAGCAAUGCCGCGUGUGUGAAGAAGGCCUUCGGGUUGUAAAGCACUUUUA
rnacentral:rRNA from 1 species